GCUGGGCAUGGUGGCACACGCCUGUAAUCCCAGCAGCUUGGGAUGCUGAGGCAGGAGGAUCUGGAGUUCAAAGCCAGCCUCAUCAAAAGCGAGAUGCUAAGCAACUCAGUGAGACCCUGUCUCUA
rnacentral:sRNA from 1 species